GACAGAGGGUGCUAGCGUUGUUCGGAAUGACUGGGCGUAAAGGGCGCGUAGGCGGGAAUAUUAGUCAAGCGUGAAAGCCCCAGGCUUAACCUGGGAACAGCGCAUGAAACGGUAUACCUAGAGGACGAGAGAGGGAAGCGGAAUUCCUAGUGUAGAGGUGAAAUUCGUAGAUAUUAGGAGGAACACCAGAGGCGAAGGCGGCUUUCUGGCUCGUAACUGACGCUGAGGCGCGAAAGCGUGGGGAGCAAACAGG
rnacentral:rRNA from 1 species